AUACUUACCUGGUGGGGGUGAUACCAAGAUCAUGAAAGUGAUUUUCCCAGGGUGAGGUUUAUUCACUGCACUCCAGAUGUGCUGACCCCUGUGAUUUCCCCAAAUGUGGGAAACUUGACUGCAUAAUUUGUGGUAGUGGGGGACUGUGUUCAUGCUCUCCCCUG